ACCUUUAGAUAUAGAGAGAGAAAGAGUGAGAAAGAGAGAGUCGGGAGGGGCGCUCCAGGGAGAGAAAGUGUGUAGCUAUGGAGUGAAUGAUGGAAGGGGUGGCCAUUUUACGACAACUUAUACGGUUCUCAUUCCCCUUCCAAUUACUUCAUUCAGUUUCAACCCACAUCGCACCACCAAACCCUCAGGUUCUGAUUCAUUCGUUCAACUACCGUAUGUGUAUGCUGUAAAGUUCUGAGUGUUGCAAGUCUUCGUCGUGAAACCCAAGACAUUUAUGUUUCGGAAUUCGGAUGCAAUAUGCCAAAUAAGGUGAAGUCUAAUAUUUGAUGAUUGCGUAAAAGAAUAAUGGAUAUUGUCAUCAGUUAUGUAGAUUGACGAAUAUGACCGAGAAUGCUCAUCACUAGAAUUGGGCAAAGAAAUCAAGUCUUGGAACCUUGAUGCAUGAGGCAUAUCCGAUUAUUUGGAUUCAGCUACAGCUCAACACUCACUUUUGCCACCCCCUUACUUUCUUUUUGUCUAAUCAAAAUGGAUGUGAUCCCUUUAUAUUAUCUAUAAGAUGCCAAUCAGAAGUUUGAGACUCUUAUGGACAUUUUAAAAUGUCUGUCCAUAUUUAAAAAUUGGUCAUUUAAGGUAGGAGCUUGUAUGCAUGAAAAAACAAUGCAUGGUUAUGAAUAUUAGUAUAAACUUACUCUUUUUUUCGCU